UCUUAUCUUCUUCUAACCUUUUAGGUUCUCCUGCUAUAGCUGCAAAAAAAUUUGAAUUUACAAGGGUGAGCAUUUAAUUUCCCAACAAGUAUAAGUAGUUGAAUAAAUAACAAUCUCAAGAAUAGAAUAAUAUUUUUCUGAAAUUCUUCAAUAAUUGAACAUUAAUUGUGAAGUUACUUGAAUAAACAGGAAUAAAUUAGAUUCCUUUCAUUUAACAUCUUUAACAUCAUACUAACAAUCACAAUGAUUAACAUAAUUCUUUUAACUGUUAGUAAACACUUGAACACAUUGUUGCACGGGGUGCAACCUAUACUAAUAAUUGUCCAACUUAUUUGAUUUGGAAUAAACAACUUGUAACACCCCCAAAAUCGGGACUAUUUUUCUCCCCGAUUUUGUGCGUUAAUAUUAUCAUGUUCUAGUUUUAAAACAUUAUUUAAUGUUAAAAUAGCUAAAAAUGCGGAAUAAAUUUUUUUUUUCAUCGUUCCCUGAAUCGCAACCUUUACGAUUCUUCUUUAUACAAAAAUCAUAUUUAUUAUAUGAUUUGUAUAAUCUGAGUAAACGUAUUAAAAGAUUAAAUCUCAAUGCUUCAUAGCUUUUCUAUUGACAAUUCACUUAUUUCAGAAUCAUAUCUAUUUUCAUUUCAGAAUAAACAUUCUUUAUCUAUUCAACAUUUCAAACUAUACAUAACUGCCAUUUACAUUUAGCAAAACUAUCAAUCAUAGCUUUAUACCAUUUCUAAUUCAAAUAAAUGUAUUCAUUUUGCACAUCGUUCAAUCUUCAUCAUCCGUAUAGCAAAUAAUAUCGCUUAACAUCAUUAACCUGCAAAAAGUUUGUGUUUGCAAGAUUGAGCUCGACAGCCCAACAAAUUUAACAGUCUAUCAUAUUUCACAUAACACAUAUCCAUAUGCACUAUAUUUCCUUUACUAUGCAUAUCCACAUACAACAUAUAUUAUUUACUAUGCAUAUCCUACAUGUAUCAAUAAUUCCUUACAAAGCAUACAUUUAUACAUUAUACAUUUCUAAUUUAUCGAGUUACAUCAUACAACAUGUGCUAUCACAUAUCACAUAUAAAUUGAGUUCCAUAACCCAAUUAACUUAGUCAUAUUUUGACUUUAACAAUUCAUAAAGCAUAGUAUGUAACUCACCACAUAAUCACAUUUAAUCCACAAACAUAAUAGAACUAAAAAACUUGGCUUUGAUAUUCCACGCUUUCGGUUUUUUAUGCGUUCGCAAACUCAAAAGAUUAACUCCUUGAGAAAACCUAUAUAUAUGACAUAUAUAAGGUUAUCACAUAGCUUAAUAUUUUUAAAUUCUAUGAAUUUCAUGAAUGUUAACUUAAACUUGUAUUUUUCAAUUUAAAUAACUCAUUUUUAACUUCACUCAAUUUAUUAGAUUAAUAAUAUUAUAGGUAAAUUAUAUAUAAUAUUUUAAUUUUUUAUACUUUACUUUCAUUGCGUCACCAAUCAAGUUAAAACGAGAUCCAACGCCAAUGCGUCGCAGCGCAGCUGAGCUGGCAGCCACUGCGUGCAUGUGCUGCUAGCUGCUGCUUGCUACUGCUGCAGAUGCGCAGCAGUCCAGUCACCAACUAGCCUACUUCAUGAUUUUCUAGUUCAAAAUCCAUACAUCCAAUUGGUACCAAACUUUAACAUGUAAUACCUGGUACUACAUACUAUUUUACAAAAAUAAAAACCAACCAAAAAGGACAUUUUAAACUGCUUUUAUAAGGGCAUGAAACUGCCCAGUUGAAAUAUUUUCUAACCGAGCCAAUCUUGCUUAUUUUUCUUAAUUUCACUUUUAAACUCAAUUUAAUUCAUCUAAGCUUCUUGGUCUACGUCAUAUAAUAUAAAUACAUACCAUCUAGUUUACAACAUGGAAUAGUUUUUCAUUUUAGGCUUGACAGCCCUUGUUCAUAACAUGCGCGGCAGCACAGCACAGUGCAGCGCACACUACUGCUGUUGCUGCUGCAACUCAUCCGUGCGCUACUAUGCAGUCACGCGUAUUACUGUACUUUUACUACCGAGUAGUUCAACAAUUUUAACGGUAACACUUUCGCCGUUAUUUUUAUAAAAUGAAAUUUAUGUUGUUUUCUAACUACGACAAUACUUUCAUUGUGGGGGUCCACCAAUGAUUGUGUCGUCGUACGAAUAUUCCCUGUUAAAACGAAUAUUCCCCGACCAAUCGAAUAUUCUCCGAAUAUUUUAAAACAACUUGCUUACUUUGUAAAAAUUUUCACAUAUCACCCUUAACUUUAACCUUUAUCAAUUUAAUCAUUUACUAAAUAACAUAAUAAUUAUAAGAAAAUUGAAUACUUUCAUUUCAUAAAAUUCGGGGUCUCACACUUUACAUUACUUGAACUUUAUAUUUUAUCAAGAAUUCUAAUUGAUUUUCUGGACAAUAUGUUGGCAAUUUGGACUCUGGAUAAUUAAGUUGAAAAUCACUAAGAUCUAUUUUAUCUUAUUAUUCUGAUUAUUUAUGUCCAUUCAUUAUAUAUAUCAUUGUCAUCAUCCUAGACUUAAAUUUGUGUUGGACAAUUAUUUUUAGCCCGUAGUGCAAAAAUGAAUUGUUGAUUGGUAUGAUUAUGACCAGGAAUUGUGUUUGUAUAAUCAUGACCGAAAUUGUGUAUUGGUAUAAUCAUGACCAUUGGUGUUACAAUUGUAUAUCAAUGGCCUGUAGUGCAAAAAUGUAUUGUUGAUUAUUGAUUUUACAGUUGUAUAUUUUUGGCCCGUAGUGCAAAGAUGGAAUGUUGAUUAUUAAUUUUACAGUUGUAUAUCCUUGGCCUAUAGUGCAAAUAUGGAUUUUUGAUUAUUGGAUUUACAGUUGUAUGUCCUUGGCUCGUAGUGCAAAUAUGAACUGUUGAUUAUUGGUUUUACAGUUGUAUAUCGUUGGCCCGUAGUGCAAAGAUGGGUCGUUGAUUAUUAGUUUUACAGUUGUAUAUCUUUGGCCCGUAGUGCAAAUAUGGACUUUUAAUUGGCAUGACUAUUGGUAUUACAAUUGAAUAUAUUUGCCCUGGAGUGUAAAGAUGAAUUUAAUGACAUAAUUAUAAACAUGAACUGUGAAUUGGUAUAACCAUGAUCUUUGGUGUUUCAGGUAAAGACGUGGUAGAAGUUCUCUUUGUCUUGGGUACAACGAAGAAUUGUGGAUUGAUGUUAUAGGAAUAAAAUAUUGAUGAUGGAUUUUUAAUUUGGAGAAAAUAGUAGACAUUAUGUUCUACUUUGCUCUUCUAAUAGAUUAUUGAUUCCGCUACAAUUAUGGUUGAACACUUUUAUCAUCUACCAUAUGUUCUAAAUAUAUGAUUUAUCAUUGUUGAAGACUAAAUAUAAUUUAAUUAUCUUUAGUCAUAAUACUCUUUACUGGGCUAUAAUUUGUGCUCACCCUUUUGCUUCACAAUUCUUUUCAGGUAAUAAGAGUGUAGCUAGGUCUACCGGGGAUAACAGGGUCUGUGACUGUUGAAGUUUCUCAAUACAUUAUAAAAUAGCAUGACAAUAUAUAAUUGUAUUGGGGACUUAAAAUGUGUGUGUUGUAUUUUAUAUGUCAUUUAAUAAUUAAUUUUGGUGAACAACAAUAGGGUGAGGUGAACUCGAAUUUAGAAGCGUCAAAAAUACACCCCAUUAAAAUGAGGAAGACAUAAAUCUUCUCGUGUUCCCUUAAAGACUUGAAAUAUUUGUUGCUGUAUUUUAUAUGUCAUUGUAAUAAUUUGGGUGUGUAUAUUGUCGUAUUAUAUUCAAUACAAUUUUUGUAUUGAAACUCACAGCUUAUGUGUUGUCGUAUUUUGUACGACAGUUUAGUAGUUGUAAAUAUGAAGAUAUGUAUUUGAAUUCUGUAGUGUAUUUUUGGCAAUUCAGAAUGGGUCGUGUGAAUCCAUUUUGGAGGCGUCACAUUAACAUUCAUUCAUUAAAGAACUAUACUUUAAAACUCAUUAUUUUUUUAUUCUAGUUAUAGUUGUAAUUACUAAUUAGAGCAUUCAUUUUAAAAUUUAAAUUUAGGAUUUCGAAAAAUGAUGAGAAUUUAUUUGAAUUGUAAUUUAGAGUAUUGAUUAUUGUAUUUAUUAAAAAUAAAUUAAUUAAUACUUAUUCAUUAACGAACUAUACUUUAAAACUCAUUAUUUAAUUUUGAUAUUCUAAUUAUAAUUGUAAUGAGAACAUUUAUUUUAAAAUUUCAAAAAUAAUUAAAACUUAUUUGUAACUAAAAAAAUAUUUUUUUUAUAUUUGAAUUCAAUAUCAAAAUUCAAAACCUGAACAAAUCAUUUUUUGUACCGCCCUCAAAAAUCAGGACAAUUUCUCUCCUUGAUCUUGUGCGUUAAUAUUAUCCUGUUCUAGCUUUAAAACAUUAUUCAAUGUUAAAAUAGCUAAAAAGGCAGAAUAAAUUUUUUUUUCCUUUCUUUCUUUCCAUUCAUUCAUUCCCUGAAUCGCAACCUUUACAAUUCUUCUAUAUACUGAAAUCAUAUUUAUUAUAUGACUUAUUUAGCCUGAGUGUAUAUAUAUAUAUAUAUAUAUAUAUAUAUAUAUAUAUAUAUAUAUAUAUAUAUAUNNNNNNNNNNNNNNNNNNNNNNNNNNNNNNNNNNNNNNNNNNNNNNNNNNNNNNNNNNNNNNNNNNNNNNNNNNNNNNNNNNNNNNNNNNNNNNNNNNNNACUCAAUUCAAUAAUUAGUCAUAAUUUGACAUUCAUCAUUCACAAAGCAAAUAAUGCAGUUCAUAGGUAUUACAUACUUAUAAACAUAAAUCAUGCUAACAGUUAUCUAUAGCAAUUAUAAGUCCACAUAAAUAAACUGAGAGACUUGCCUUGAGUGCUGUUUAAUGUUAUAACUUAUCUGCUCGGUGAUGAUCCUACACAAAUUGAGUAUAUAUAUUCAGACACACAUUAGUUUCACAUACUAAAUUCACAAACAUAAUGUAAACUAAUUUUUAUUUUACAUUAAGUAUAAUCUUUUUGUUCUUGUCUUAAAAUCAUUCCACGUUUCUUUAGAAACUUUUGUCUGUUAUAACCCUUUUUAUGCACAAAAAGGAAUUCUCUCAUGGUUUUAGUAUAUAAAUACUUUACAUCUCGAAGCAUAGACCAAUUAUAUACCAUUUUAAAAAUAUCUUUCAUCUUUAUUUGUAAACUUAGGACUUUAUGGUUUAUGAAUGACUUUUAUUGCGUAAACAUAACUCAUUUCAUCAUUUCUUUAAUUACAUAAUUUUUAUGCCUUUGCGAUAGUUCAUGAGCUAAGCCACACUAUCGACAUGUAUGCGAAUGCUUUACUUCGUUAGUAAUUUAGCUUCACAUUUAUUCUCGCGACUAAUUUACAUUCUCACUUCGCAUGUAUUUUAAAUUCAUACAUAUUUCAUUAUAUAAUUCCGCGUUCAAAAUCUUGGUUUCAAACUUCGAAAACCCUUCAUUUUAACAUUUUCAGGUUCAAUAUAGCUAGCUUUACAUAGUUUAGUGUAUUCCAUUUUAACUAAUAACCUUUUUGCAUUCAAUCACCCGAAUAGAUUUCACAUAUAUAUGUAAACUUGCAUUUACAUAUAACUUUUAUCGCUUUAAUAAACCUUGACAUGAUUUUAGUUCAUGAAUACCUCACACUUUCAGUUUAUAACCCUCUUGUAUCUUAAUACAUGAGUAUUCCAUCUCUCUUAUAUCUCACUUAAGAAUUCAAAGUGAAUACAAAAUAUAUUCCAUAUAUUGUUCUUGAUUAUAUAAUAAAUGGAUAAAUUAUAGCUUCAAAUACUUCAUCAUCUUACUUAUAAUAACCAUUCUUCUCUUUUAGUAGAAUUUGGUAUGAUUGUAGUAUAUGAAUACAUUAAGAUUCUAAGUUAUAAUCCAUUAGAAGUUUAGUAUAUGACAUUCUAUGUUCUUUGUACAUAACUCAAAUGUAUAAAGAAAAUUUAUAACUUAUUUCAUGACUUGGAAGUAAUUAUAACUUGUUUGGGUAACGUAUAGCUCCCAUAAUGCUUUAUAGUUUUAUUUUCGUUUAUUAACGCGUGAAAUAUUAUUAUUUUUCAUCAUCAUGACAAAACAACCUCUUUUGAGGCAUUAACAGCUUCAAAUUUGCCUAACAGUCCCAACAUAGGAUGCUCACAUUUGCUAGCUUAUAGAUUGCUAACUCGUUAUAGUUUCUAUAUACGCGUUCAUUUACAUUGAAUUGUGAAUUUAAUGUAUAAAUCUUAUAUACUUGUUUAUUUAGAAAGUUUUAAACCAAAUUUUAUGGUUAGAUCUUCAAACUACAAUAUAAAGUCAAAAUGGCGUGCCAAAAAUCGUUAUGGUAACUAUUGGUUGCCAACUGCUGCUGCACGCUGCUACUAUGGGCAACAGCCCUCUUCGCGACGAGACCACUUUGCGAUUUUGUAGUUUUUAAUUCGUAAGUUAGUUUGCCCCUAAUUUUGGAUAUAUUGUAGAUACCAUAAGAUAAUAUAGUUAAAAAUUAUAAGCCACCCAUUUUGGACAUCUUAGGCAGUCUAAAACAGGCCUUAAAAAUGCCUAAUCAUAACAGUUUUUAACUCUUUUUUUCCCAACUUUACCCUCUCUCGCUAAAACAUUCAUAACUUCUUCGUUUCAAAACAUUUUUAAGCGAUUCUUGAGCCCACGCGAAGCUAACUUCCAUGGCUACAACUCCUAUUCAAUAACCUUUUCCAAAUUCUGCACCCAUAAUUCCAGAAAAUUCGCGCAAGGGACAGGUUCAAAUCUGAUUUCCAAAUUUUGGACAGAUUCGACACACCCACUUUGGAAUGCCAUAACUCCCUCCUCCGAAGUCGGUAUUAGUCUGUUCCAAAGGCUAUGGAUAGCUGGGAUUGCAUACUACAAGACCCCAAAAAAAUUAUAAUUUUCCAGCAAGUCUAACUAGCAAAACAUAUAGCCCAAAUUUAGCCUGACACACUAACUUUUAAUCUCUCGUUUUGGCUUUAAAUCGUUUUUCGUUCUAGUUUGAUUCCUUCAAAUCUUUUAACUAACUAUAUAAGAUGUUCAUACAUGCAAUCUUAACUUUGGCUUUCCCAAAUUCUUGGUUUUUAAGUAAAACAGUUCAUAUAAGACUUUUGUCAAACACUAGGUGUGCAUUGUUUUGAACCCUCAUGUCAUAGCUAUUUAUUUGAGUUAUCAUCGCAUUUUAGCUUCAUUAUUACACCUUAUGUCCUGCACAAAACUUCCUUAACAGAACGCAAUCCAAUCACCACAGAUUCACAACCAAUAAUACAAUUGAAUCCAUAUUCGAAUAUACACAUACUUAAUUUUAUGCAAAUACAAUAUAAACACAUAAAAUUACCUCUUUGAUUGUUAUCUAAUUUGAAUUCUUUGUUACAAUUCCCUUGUUAUUAGCCUUCGAUGCCAAUUAUUGCCGAUUUCAGCUCCAUAAACUUUCUCUUCUUAAUAUGCUUGAUGAUUAAACUUGAGCCCAGUAGAAUAAAUUUUGACAUAAAUUUGGGGUAUAUGGAUUCGGCAAUUAAGAGGGAAAGGAAAGAGAUUUGGGGACGGAAGGAAGUUACUUAUACUUGGCAAAUUUUGAAAGGAAAAGAAAUUGAAUGGGACGGAGCAGAGUAUAUCAUUCAUAGCUUCUUUUAUCCACCCAUGUACUACUAGUUUUGCCAGCUCAAGCUUAGACUUAUUGGAUGUUUUUAAUCCUUAAGCUGAUGCCACUUCCUACUUUCCCCUAAUAUCAUGUUUCCUUCUUAUUUCGUAACCUCCAAACUUUAAUUCCGUCAUGCAUACAUAUUACAGUACAUAAAUUCUAAUUCUAGCACACACACAUCAAUUAUUUAUGCAUUGUAUUUAUCUAUAAUCCAAUUAUUAAUUAAAAUUGGAUAAGUAUACAUUUAUAAUUAAUUUUUUUUUUAUAAAUGCUAAUUUCAAUUUCUUAUAAGUUGGUCACCAAACUUAAGUCUUCUCUAGUCUUCCUCAUCGUCUUUAAAAACUUGCAAAUCACCCCCUGACAUAUUCUUAGCAUAUUCUUUAUUCCUUAGCAUAUUCCUUAAGAUAUUUUCUUAAGUUUCAAAUAUUAGGUUUUUUACCCUAAGAUUUUCUUAACUCGCACAAUUCUCCCUUAACUUUCAUAAUUCACUUCCAUACUUUAUUAAGUUAUUUAAUUACCCAAUCUUAGUAACUUAAUUGAAUCAAAUAAGUUACUACAUAAAUCUCCUUAAUUUAUUUUACCCUUCUGGAAUCAUAUAAUUUACAUAACUCGUCUGUGAUAUAUAAAUUAUAUAAAAUAUAACAUAACAUACUCAAAUUACAUAUUUAUUUUAUAAUUAUAAAAUAAAUAUGCUACACAUAAUUUCUUAUGUAAAUACAAUUAUUUACAUACCCAAGAUAUUAUAGAAUAAUAUCCUUACUUCAUUAUCAUAAAUUCAAUUAACAAUUUAUUUACUUUCUUAAGAUAUUAAGAUAAAUAUAAUAUCUUUUCUUUAUUAAAUUAAUUUUAUAUAAGAAUUUAUUCUAAUACUCUUGGAUAAAGUAUAUAUAAAUAUUAUAUGCUUAACCCGCCUCUUUUUGCCUCAUUACGCAAAUUGUUCCCAACAAUUUUAUUUCUCUGCGUAAUAAAUAUAUAUUUAUAUUUAUCACCUUGCAAAUAUUCUUUAUAAUGCACAUGUACUCACAUCACAAAUAGAAAAUAAAUAAUAAAUUUAUUCUCUCACCUUAUAAAUUGUUUGUUUCAAUUUAUUUACAUAUAGUAAGUAUAACUUAAUAUAUUUACCUUAUAAAUAGAAAUUUAUUCAGUAAAUAAGAUAUUAUAAUUAAAAUAAUAUCUUUUCUUUAUUAAAAUAAUUCAAAUCUAGAAUUUAUUUUAAUAUCAUUUAUUUAAAGUAUACAAUAAUUCUUGUAUACUAAUUACUUCCUUUUCUCUUCUAAAAAUUGUUUUCAACAAUUUCACGGUAAUAAAUAUAAUAAUAUACUUACUACAUUAAAAAUAUACAUACAUUACGUCUAAUAAUGUAAUACAUGAUUUCUUCAAUAAAAGGGUGGUUAUACAUUAAGUAUAUAUUUAAUGCCACCAAUUCACCACAUUAAAAUAAUUUAAUAUUAUAGAUUAUUUUAAUUCUACCCAUCUCAUUUCCUUUAAUAAAUUGCCCCUACAAUUUAUUUACAUAUAAUAAAUAUAUAAUACCAAAAUAUUUAUUAAGCAUAAGCAUCACAUAUUGCAUAGUUCAUACCCACUUGUGCAAUAUAAUAUCAUACAACAUAUUAUCUAAUAAGAAUUUUAUUUAUUUAAUUCUUAUUUUAAUAUUACCCAAAAAUUUGGGUUAUCACAUUCUUUCCCCCUUAUAAGGAUUCCGUCCCCGGAAUCACAAUACUGAAUCAUUCUUAAUCGGUUUAGAUCUUAUUCUUUCUCGUAACCUUAUCGUUGAAUCAUUUCAACGUACCAUUUCCUUAGAUUUUUCUUAAAAAUUUUAAAUAAAUCUUUUAUUUCCAUUCUAGGCUUUAAACUUUAACACUUAAUUAAUCAUUUAAGAUUUUCUAAAUUUUCGGGUUGUCACAUUCACCCCUUCUUCUAAGAAUUUCGUCCCCGAAAUUACAGUCUACUAAUCUUUGCUUCUCCUAUUCACUGAAAAUAGGUUUUCAAUUUAACCUUUACAUUUUCCUCCUCUGAGGAUUUCUCUUCUAUCAUCUCAUUCAACCAUUUUUACCCUUUUGAAGAAGUUAAAAACUUUUCAUAUUAUGCUGAGGGGUCAUAUAGACCAUGAACUCUCAGGUUUAACGGUAUUCACCGCAACCAAUUCUGUAAACAUGUUGUACUAGGUGAUCAGCCUAGUACAGAUACGAGUAUGUUAGGUGAUCAGCCUAUCGUACCCUACGUCGUGCACAACGUAUCAAUCUUUGUUUAGCGACUAUUUGCGUUACUAGAUUGGAUUAUUCUAUCCAAUCGGGGUUGUUCACCUCAGACUUAGCAUAAGAUUCCGUACCAAAACAAUUUGGUUUGGGAUAAAUUCUCAAAGAAUACUUGAAUUUUCAUAAACAUUUGCCUAGCUGAAUCAAGUAGCUUAGACGCAUAUCAAUAAUUCGAAUAUCAAUCGAAACAUUUAUCUAACCACUAUAAUUGGCAUUGACUUUUCUUUAACUGGUUUAAAAUUAUGAAAAUUAUUUUAUGACGUCAUGAUACCGCACUGUAUUUACAGUCCGUUUGAGGAUUCUGUCAUUCGGUGAUUUUAUCAUACUACAUCAUACCAUAGUGGGCUGCCGAUCCUUAGAUCACAUCCAACACUAAGUAAUACUGCAUUGACUCCAUCGUUUUUAUCAUCUUUGCACCAGGUUCCAUGAUGCAUUGAUGAUAUAUAAAAUAUAUUUUGAUAUAUUUCAAAUCAUUUUUGUCUAGCCGAAGUAAUUAGCAUAGACUCUUCUUUAAACGGUUCAAAACCAUUGAAAAUCAAUUUUAGUGUUAUCAUGUCGUAACAGAUAACGAGACGUUAGUGGUUCACAGUCCAUAUACACACCUUUGUCAUCGUAUGUUACUGAUAACAAAAUUCAUUUUUAAUUAAAGGCACCAUAGUGCGAAUUUAGCUUGAUGUCAAAAAUUUUGAAGUCUAGCAUAGCUAGAAGAUUUGGAAUACAUAUGCUUCCAUCGUCAACUUCAAUUUGUCUAAUGAUCCAUUACUUAAUAAGUCUAUCUAUUCCUAUCAUCCUCAAUUCUCCAUUCACACUUAGUUAUACCCCAGUUCAUCAAACUUACCACACUUUGGAAAUCCAGGAACUUGCCAUAAUUAUAUGAGUUUAGAAACUUAUCCUAGUCAGACCAUAGGCGUCCAUUCGCUGAGGGGUUCAAAACAUACCAUAUGAUUAUGAGUCACGAACUUACCAUAUGCAUUAGUUUUAACAACCGUACCUAAUCUUAAUAUCAUCUAACCUAAUCUUAUAUUCUCUACCUAUCCAUUAUACACAUGAGAAAAGAAUCACCUUCUCAACAAGUAUAUAGCAAAUAGCGCAACACAAACAUUUCAAUGAUUAUCACUACCAGAAGCUAAGUGGUUGUUACAACAAGUACAAUUCUACGCCCAUACAAAGAAUCAUACAACUUAGAUGCUGACAUGAGUUCUCAAUUGAAAUCCCACCCAAUUCUAGCUUCCCCUUGCUAAAUAUGAAUUUUAUUUAAUUCGUAUCUCAUUAUCUACAACUCUUUUCUAAGUUUUCAUAGUACCAUUUCAUAGUAUAUUCUCUUUAUAGCGUCUGGCUAUAUCAUUCCAAUCAUUUCAUAGAUUUUCUGCUAUUCAAUCUGAUCACGUCGUGAUCUUAUCUCAUAAUCGUGUUAUAUUACGAUUCUCUUCUAUCUUAUGAUCGUUUUGUUUUACGAUCUCCUUUCCCUUUAUACUUUUAGUCUCAUAGACUCUAUUCAUUACUACUUUUUGUCUUUAACAUCAGAGUUAGGUAACUCUUGAUCUUUAUAACUUUUCAAGAUUCUUCUUUGAAUCUUAUUUACUAAAUAAUGAAUCUUCCAAAUUCAUCCCUUAACAAAUUAAACUCUAUUUGAGUUUAUUCCUUAUCCUUAUCACUAUGGUUAUAGCCGAAGGUACACCUACCUAAGAUUUAUAACAUGCAGCUUUGAUACCAACUGUAACGCCCCCAAAAAUCGGGACAAUUUCUCUCCCCGAUCUUGUGCGUUAAUAUUAUCCUGUUCUAGCUUUAAAACAUUAUUCAAUGUUAAAAUAGCUAAAAAGGCGGAAUACAUUUUUUCUUUCUUUCCAUUCAUUCACUCCCUUAAUCGUAACCUUUACAAUUCUUCUAUAUACUGAAAUCAUAUUUAUUAUAUGACUUAUUUAGCCUGAGUAUAUAUAUAUAUAUAUACAAUUCAUUCUUUCAAGCAUAUCCCCUUUUUUCAAGACAAUUAAUCUUCAUCUAUCGAAUAAUUCAAAAAUUUACACGUCUGUGAUUUACACAUGAAAAUACCAUCAAAUGGUUCAACACAAUAUCAAUUAAAUCACUAGUCUUCUUUUCAUGCACUCCUACUCACGAUAGAUCGCCUCAUAGCUUUAACCUGCAAAUUAAGCAAGAUUGAGCACGACGGCCCAGCAAGUCUAACAGUCUAUCAUGCAUCAUGUAGCACAUAGGUUUCACAUUCAGUUCAUGCAUUUAUAUUCUUGGUGUUCAAGCAUAUUACCAAUGCAUUAUCACAUUUAUGUGCUGCUGGUAGCAACAUACAUACCAUAGUAUACUACACGUGUCAUGUUUAUGUCAUUCAUUGCACAUAUAUAUUGAGUUCCCCGACUCAAUUCAAUAAUUAGUCAUAAUUUGACAUUCAUCAUUCACAAAGCAAAUAAUGCAGUUCAUAGGUAUUACAUACUUAUAAACAUAAAUCAUGCUAACAGUUAUCUAUAGCAAUUAUAAGUCCACAUAAAUAAACUGAGAGACUUGCCUUGAGUGCUGUUUAAUGUUAUAACUUAUCUGCUCGGUGAUGAUCCUACACAAAUUGAGUAUAUAUAUUCAGACACACAUUAGUUUCACAUACUAAAUUCACAUACAUAAUGUAAACUAAUUUUUAUUUUACAUUAAGUAUAAUCUUUUUGUUCUUGUCUUAAAAUCAUUCCACGUUUCUUUAGAAACUUUUGUCUGUUAUAACCCUUUUUAUGCACAAAAAGGAAUUCUCUCAUGGUUUUAGUAUAUAAAUACUUUACAUCUCGAAGCAUAGACCAAUUAUAUACCAUUUUAAAAAUAUCUUUCAUCUUUAUUUGUAAACUUAGGACUUUAUGGUUUAUGAAUGACUUUUAUUGCGUAAACAUAACUCAUUUCAUCAUUUCUUUAAUUACAUAAUUUGUAUGCCUUUGCGAUAGUUCAUGAGCUAAACCACACUAUCGACAUGUAUGCGAAUGCUUUACUUCGUUAGUAAUUUAGCUUCGCAUUUAUUCUCGCGACUAAUUUACAUUCUCACUUCGCAUGUAUUUUAAAUUCAUACAUAUGUCAUUAUAUAAUUCCGUGUUCAAAAUCUUUGUUUCAAACUCCGAAAACCCUUCAUUUUAACAUUUUCAGGUUCAAUAUAGCUAGCUUUACAUAGUUUAGUGUAUUCCAUUUUAACUAAUAACCUUUUUGCAUUCCAUCACCCGAAUAGAUUUUACAUAUAUAUGUAAACUUGCAUUUACAUAUAACUUUUAUCGCUUUAAUAAACCUUGACAUGAUUUUAGUUCAUGAAUACCUCACACUUUCAGUUUAUAAUCCUCUUGUAUCUUAAUACAUGGGUAUUCCAUCACACUUAUAUCUCACUUAAGUAUUCAAAGUGAAUACAAAAUAUAUUCCAUAUAUUGUUCUUGAUUAUAUAAUAAAUGGAUAAAUUAUAGCUUCAAAUACUUCAUCAUCUUACUUAUAAUAACCAUUCUUCUCUUUUAGUAGAAUUUGGUAUGAUUGUAGUAUAUGAAUACAUUAAGAUUCUAAGUUAUAAUCCAUUAGAAGUUUAGUAUAUGACAUUCUAUGUUCUUUGUACAUAACUCAAAUGUAUAAAGAAAAUUUAUAACUUAUUUCAUGACUUGGAAGUAAUUAUAACUUGUUUGGGUAACGUAUAGCUCCCAUAAUGCUUUAUAGUUUUAUUUUCGUUUAUUAACGCGUGAAAUAUUAUUAUUUUUCAUCAUCAUGACAAAACAACCUCUUUUGAGGCAUUAACAGCUUCAAAUUUGCCUAACAGUCCCAACAUUGGAUGCUCACAUUUGCUAGCUUAUAGAUUGCUAACUCGUUAUAGUUUCUAUAUACGCGUUCAUUUACAUUGAAUUGUGAAUUUAAUGUAAAUCUUAUAUACUUGUUUAUUUAGAAAGUUUUAAACCAAAUUUUAUGGUUAGAUCUUCAAACUACAAUAUAAAGUCAAAAUGGUGUGCCAAAAAUCGUUAUGGUAACUAUUGGUUGUCAACUGCUGCUGCACGCUGCUUCUAUGGGCAGCAGCCCUCUUCGCGACGAGGCCACUUUGCGAUUUUGUAGUUUUUAAUUCGUAAGUUAGUUUGCCCCCAAUGUUGGAUAUAUUUUAGAUACCAUAAGAUAAUAUAUUUAGAAAUUAUAAGCCACCCAUUUUGGACAUCUUAGGCAGUCCAAAACAGGCCUUAAAAAUGCCCAAUCAUAACAGUUUUUAACUCUAUUUUUUUCCAGCUUUACCCUCUCUCGCUAAAACAUUCAUAACUUCUUCGUUUCAGAACAUUUUUAAGCGAUUCUUGAGCCUAUGCGAAUCUAACUUCCAGGGCUACAACUCCUAUUCAAUAACCUUUUCCAAAUUCUGCACCUAUAAUUCCAAAAAAUUCGCGCAAGGGAUAGGUUCAAAUCUGAUUUCCAAAUUUUGGACAGAUUCGACACACCCACUUUGGAAUGCCAUAACUCCCUCCAGAGGCUAUGGAUAGCUGGGAUUGCAUACUACAUGACCCCAAAAAAAUUAUAAUUUUCCAGCAAGUCUAACUAGUCAAAACAUAUAGCCCAAAUGUAGCCCGACACACUAACUUUUGAUCUCUCGUUUUGACUUAUUGGAUGUUUUUAAUCCUUAAGCUGAUGCCACUUCCUACUUUCCCCUAAUAUCAUGUUUCCUUCUUAUUUCGUAACCUCCAAACUUUAAUUCCGU
rnacentral:lncRNA from 1 species